UACGAAGGGGGGCUAGCGUUGCUCGGAAUCACUGGGCGUAAAGGGCGCGUAGGCGGCCAAGUAAGUUGGGGGUGAAAGCCCGUGGCUCAACCACGGAAUUGCCUUCGAUACUGCUUGGCUUGAGACCGGAAGAGGUGAGUGGAACUGCGAGUGUAGAGGUGAAAUUCGUAGAUAUUCGCAAGAACACCAGUGGCGAAGGCGGCUCACUGGCCCGAUACUGACGCUGAGGCACGAAAGCGUGGGGAGCAAACAGGG
rnacentral:rRNA from 1 species